GGAGGGUGUGCUCAGUGGUAGAGCACAUGCCUAGCAUGCACAAGGUCCUGGGUUCAAUCCCCAGUGCCUCCA
rnacentral:tRNA from 1 species